rnacentral:lncRNA from 1 species
UUCAUCUUUUAGUCUAAAUGUGAUGGUGACCAAUCCUCAUAAAGAAAACCCGCACACAUUAAGAACCCUCAUUAAUUUUCUCUUAUUCUUUUGGUUUGUUGGUUUGUGGAACUUUAAAUUCAGGCACAUCACACCCUUACAACUCAUGGAAUAAGUUCUUAAAUUAGUCUCUAUAAAGUACACUUACACAACUGUAUCCAUCUAAGCAAGUUCCUUUCAUUUUUAUGGCCACAUAUUCUUUUCAGCUGAAGUAAAAUUGAAUUCAUGGUUAGAUGAGUGACCAAGCAAGGCUUUUGCCUUAAGUAUGGCAUUUUCUUAAUCCUCACCAAUGUAACCACACUUUGUACUUCGAAUGUACAAUCAACUGAUUUUAAAACAUGAUUUAAAAUCCUUGUACAUACUCAGUGUCUCCUGAAUGAAAUCUAGUUUAGAACUGAACUAUUUGAACUUUAAAAUAACAAGAAUGGUGGGGUGAAUAAUUUUAAUGGUAUUGUAUUUUUCCUCACUGAGGCAUUGUACUUGUUGGUACCCAAGUAGACCAGUACCUUCAUAAACAACCAGGGCUUGCUUGUAUAUUUUCCCAUAAAUGGACGCCUUCUAGAACCUUCACCUGCCGAAUGUACUUACAACCCCAACUCCUGCAGAGAUGCUUCCAGUAAAAACAUACAAAGAUUAUAUACAUAUAUUUGUACGAUUUAUUAUUUUUAUACAUACAUACAUACAUACAGAUGUGUGCGUGUGUGUGUGUGUGUGUACAUUCAAGUUGGUUUACUUCCCUAAAACUUACUGAGAGUUACAGUAAUGCUGCAAAAUAUUGUCUGUGUUUGUGGACAAUUAUGGGUGGAGUAAAGGACAGCCAUGUUAGAGGCUUGCACUAUUACCACAGUGUGAUGGCAAUACCUCCACAUCCUUCAGCAUUCAUUGUGCUGUAUAUACAGUGGGUCACCAGUGCAGCAAGUACAGUGGGUCACUGUGGAAACAGGGAGCGUUUGACGAGGUCAACACUACGUCAUGCCCACUUCAAAAUUAGGCUCAUUAAAUGAAUCAUGUUGACAAUCUAUUGCAAGACAGAGUAGGUUUGGCAUUGAAAACCCUAAAGUGCAAUAUGUUGCAUUGACACAGCAGCCACAACCUCCACACAGGAAUCUAAGGUUGCUGGGAGUUUUUGGCACAAAAAAUACAUACAAUGAAGGGAUCACUGCUGGCACACUGCCCCAUCAUCAGUAAGUGACAGAGCAUAGUGUUAGAGAAAAAACAGGGACAAGAAAAUAAUAAUAAUAAUAAGAAUCAUCAUCAUAAUAAUAAUUCAUAAGAACUACCCUGCUACACCACCCUUCUAUAAAAAGCAGCAGCAGAGGUUUCUUACAAGAGCAUCUUUUCUUUUUCAGAAGCUGGUGAUGUGCAGGUAUAUUCUGCACAGUACAGCAACAAAGUAUCACAAUAAAAAAGCCACUUCAAUGUUGCAAAUCAUCUUGGUGUACUUACAUCUCACAUAUCAAAUCAACUAUGUUCAUGUGCAAAGACUGUGCUGCC